UGAGGAACAUGACCUUCGGCGGGGGAUAGCCGGCCCAACGGCCGGGUAAUACCGCGUACGACCUUUUGGGGACAUCCCCGAUUGGUGAAAGCAGCAAUGCGCCGAAAGAGUGCCUCGCGGCCUAUCAGCUAGUUGGUGGGUAAUGGCUCACCAAGGCGACGACGGGUAGCUGGUCUGAGAGGAUGGCCAGCCACAUUGGGACUGAGACACGGCCCAGACUCCGUACGGGAGCAGC
rnacentral:rRNA from 1 species